rnacentral:misc_RNA from 1 species
GUGAAUCAUCAAAUCUUUGAACGCAAAUUGCACUCUUUGGUAUUCCGGAGAGUAUGCCUGUUUGAGGGUCAGUUUAAAUAAAAAUCGGUGUGGUUGCUGCCUUUCGUGGUGACGCACCGGUUGUGGGUCGUCUUUCUGUCGGUUAGGUGUCCUAAAAUGUUGCAUUAUUUUUGUCGAACGUAUUUAAAUGAUUUUACGUACGUUUGCGAUAUCGAAUACUAGG